rnacentral:tRNA from 1 species
GGACCCGUAGCUCAGCAGCAGGAGCGCCCGAUUGCCGAUCGGGAGGCCGCCGGUUCGAGUUCGGCCGGGGGCA